rnacentral:rRNA from 1 species
GGGGGGGGGGGGGGGGGGGGGGGGGGGGGGCGGGGCGGGGGGGGAGGCGGGGGGCUGGCGCCGCUGACGGUCGCGGCGGGCGGGUGGGUAGCACGUGGAGAACCUACCUGUCAGCCUGGGAUAGCUGCGGGCGCCCGGAGCUCAUCCCGGAUCAUAUCUUGAACCGCGUUGUUCCAUAGUGAAAGCCGGUUUGUCUGUCACGUAUAGCGUGAUCCGCGCCGCAGUAGCUAGUUGGUCAGGUACAGGCUUACCCAGGCGACCACGCGUAGCCGACCUGAGAGGGGGAUCGGCCACCAUGGAACGGAGACACGGUACAGACUCCUACGGGAGGAAGCAGUAGGGAAUCUUCCGCAAUGGGCGAAAGCCUGACGGAGCAACGCCGCGUGAGUGAUGAAGGUCUUCGGAUCGUAAAACUCUGUUAUUAGGGAAGAACAAAUGUGUAAGUAACUAUGCACGUCUUGACGGUACCUAAUCAGAAAGCCACGGCUAACUACGUG